AUUUAAAUAGUUUAAAAAAAAAUUAAGGUUUGUGGUGCCUUAGAUACUAUAUAGUUUUAAAUU
rnacentral:tRNA from 1 species